CCUAAUCCCAUGGAAGCAAGACCACACCUAAACUGGAAGAAGUGCGGAUCAGCCCUGAUGAAGGAAAAAGACCCGCUGCCUGCGAAGGCCUAAAGGCUCGAAAUACAGCAAAUUCUCUCAUGCCCAGGAAAGGCAAAAGGAUCGGAGAAACUGCAAGGUGGUUACACAACUUUUCCUCAAAAGAGAGCUGGUACUGGCAACAAUUUCCUAACUCACAGCCUCCGCAGUCGACAAGGAGAGCGGCCCACGCAGCGGCUGCUGCGCCCGUGGCCUCUACUUGCUUUUGCCCUGCUGUUCCGUGUAGUGGUUUGUUUGGGGCUUGCAGGAAGAAACAAACACACCUCCUCUGACUGCCCCCACCCCAUCUUUGGCUUCUGCAACCGCUGCUUCGGCCUAAGGCCCAGGCUGAGGUAGACUCUUUCUUUGUCUGCCCGAAGCCCCGCAUUCUCCAGGCAUGCUGCUGAAGGGACUCCAACUCCAAACUCCACCGAAGUUAAAUAUUGACCAGAACCUCCUUCAACCGGCUGCAGUUGCCAGGAGCCCUGAAGGGGAAACUCCUCCCAGCGCCCUGUUGCAAAGUCCCGCACAGCGAAGAGUUCUGGCACAGCGCUUACCUCCAAAGAUGUUUAAAUCUGAACCAGGAAUUGUCUCCAACUCCAGGCGCUCAGGGAAUCGCCUUUUCUGGUGUCCAGACGCUCUGCAGACAAAUAAACAGCAGAGGGUGAACGGUGGCUGUGAGGGAAGGGAGUCGGAGGACCGGAGUGGGAAGCGCGGCCCGCGCGGGCGCCAAGGUGGCCCCGGGGGUGACGCGGACACGGAGGAGUCGCCAGGGCACUCGUCCAUGCGGCGCACUCAUUGCUUGAAAUGUUCCAUUCUACAAAUGGCCCGAAGAUAGUGAUUUAUUUUUGAAAAAUAAAUGCAUACUCCAUCUCUGAA